rnacentral:rRNA from 1 species
UUUAAUUGAAGAGUUUGAUCAUGGCUCAGAUUGAACGCUGGCGGCAGGCCUAACACAUGCAAGUCGAGCGGCAGCGGAAGGGAGCUUGCUCCCUUGCCGGCGAGCGGCGGACGGGUGAGUAAUGUCUGGGGAUCUGCCCGAUGGAGGGGGAUAACUACUGGAAACGGUAGCUAAUACCGCAUAACGUCGCAAGACCAAAGUGGGGGACCUUAGGGCCUCACACCAUCGGAUGAACCCAGAUGGGAUUAGCUAGUAGGCGGGGUAAGAGCCCACCUAGGCGACGAUCUCUAGCUGGUCUGAGAGGAUGACCAGCCACACUGGAACUGAGACACGGUCCAGACUCCUACGGGAGGCAGCAGUGGGGAAUAUUGCACAAUGGGGGAAACCCUGAUGCAGCCAUGCCGCGUGUAUGAAGAAGGCCUUCGGGUUGUAAAGUACUUUCAGCGGGGAGGAAGGCAGUGAACUUAAUACGUUCGCUGAUUGACGUUACCCGCAGAAGAAGCACCGGCUAACUCCGUGCCAGCAGCCGCGGUAAUACGGAGGGUGCAAGCGUUAAUCGGAAUGACUGGGCGUAAAGCGCACGCAGGCGGUUUGUUAAGUCAGAUGUGAAAUCCCCGAGCUUAACUUGGGAACUGCAUUUGAAACUGGCAGGCUAGAGUCUUGUAGAGGGGGGUAGAAUUCCAGGUGUAGCGGUGAAAUGCGUAGAGAUCUGG